rnacentral:rRNA from 1 species
UGGAUCCAGACUUUGAUUCUGGCUCAGGACGAACGCUGGCGGCGUGCCUAACACAUGCAAGUCGAACGAAACUUCUUUAAAGGAUUUCUUCGGAAUGAAUUUGAUUAAGUUUAGUGGCGGACGGGUGAGUAACGCGUGAGUAACCUGCCUCUAAGAGGGGAAUAACAUUCUGAAAAGAGUGCUAAUACCGCAUAACAUAUAUUUAUCGCAUGGUAGAUAUAUCAAAGAUUUAUCGCUUAGAGAUGGACUCGCGUCCGAUUAGUUAGUUGGUGAGGUAACGGCUCACCAAGACCGCGAUCGGUAGCCGGACUGAGAGGUUGAACGGCCACAUUGGGACUGAGACACGGCCCAGGCUCCUACGGGAGGCAGCAGUGGGGGAUAUUGCGCAAUGGGGGAAACCCUGACGCAGCAACGCCGCGUGAAGGAUGAAGGUCUUCGGAUUGUAAACUUCUUUUAUUAAGGACGAAUAAAGUGACGGUACUUAAUGAAUAAGCUCCGGCUAACUACGUGCCAGCAGCCGCGGUAAUACGUAGGGAGCAAGCGUUGUCCGGAUUUACUGGGUGUAAAGGGUGCGUAGGCGGCUUUGCAAGUCAGAUGUGAAAUCUAUGGGCUCAACCCAUAGCCUGCAUUUGAAACUGCAGAGCUUGAGUGAAGUAGAGGCAGGCGGAAUUCCCCGUGUAGCGGUGAAAUGCGUAGAGAUGGGGAGGAACACCAGUGGCGAAGGCGGCCUGCUGGGCUUUAACUGACGCUGAGGCACGAAAGCGUGGGUAGCAAACAGGAUUAGAUACCCUGGUAGUCCACGCUGUAAACGAUGAUUACUAGGUGUGGGGGGUCUGACCCCUUCCGUGCCGGAGUUAACACAAUAAGUAAUCCACCUGGGGAGUACGGCCGCAAGGUUGCAACUCAAAUGAAUUGACGGA